rnacentral:rRNA from 1 species
UUAAGUCCGCAACGAGCGCAACCCUUAUCAUUAGUUGCUACGCAAGGGCACGUCUAAUGAGACUGCCGGUGGACAAACCGGAGGAAGGUGGGGAUGACGUCAAGUCCUCAUGGCCCUUAUGGGUAGGGCUUCACACGUCAUACAAUGGUCGGUACAGAGGGUUGCCAAGCCGCGAGGCGGAGCCAAUCCCACAAAGCCGAUCGUAGUCCGGAUUGUUCUCUGCAACUCGAGAGCAUGAAGUCGGAAUCGCUAGUAAUCGCAGGUCAGCAUACUGCGGUGAAUACGUUCCCGGGUCUU